rnacentral:rRNA from 1 species
GACGAACGCUGGCGGCGUGCUUAACACAUGCAAGUCGAACGAAGAGCGAUGGAAGCUUGCUUCUAUCACUCUUAGUGGCGAACGGGUGAGUAACGCGUAAUCAACCUGCCCUUCAGAGGGGGACAACAGUUGGAAACGACUGCUAAUACCGCAUACGAUCUAAUCUCGGCAUCGAGGAAAGAUGAAAGGUGGCCUCUAUUUAUAAGCUAUCACUGAAGGAGGGGAUUGCGUCUGAUUAGCUAGUUGGAGGGGUAACGGCCCACCAAGGCGAUGAUCAGUAGCCGGUCUGAGAGGAUGAACGGCCACAUUGGGACUGAGACACGGCCCAGACUCCUACGGGAGGCAGCAGUGGGGAAUCUUCCGCAAUGGACGAAAGUCUGACGGAGCAACGCCGCGUGAGUGAUGACGGCCUUCGGGUUAUAAAGCUCUGUUAAUCGGGACGAAAGGCCUUCUUGCGAACAGUUAGAAGGAUUGACGGUACCGGAAUAGAAAGCCACGGCUAACUACGUG